GAACCAGGCCCUGUAGUGCUCAAGGAGGGUGGGAGAGUGAAACGAAAAGGAGUGAGAUGCUGCUUCUGUUCUCGAGGACUUCACAGUCAACUUGCGCCUGGAGUUGGUCUGGGGAAUAAAGAAUGGGAUGAAAUGGUGAGAGUCCAGAGGGGUUGAGCAAAGAACUCACUAUCACACAGCAAGGCACUAAUUUGAAAUGCCUGGGAGAAGUAGAAGCUGCAUUUGACUCUCAUAUUCUUAUUGGACCAGGAAGGCAGGAGGAGACACCAGUGUGCACCAGAGAAGGAGAAGUCAGAGAUGACAGUCCCUGCCUGAGGCCAUCUCUGGUCCACCAGACAACUCAUCACCAACUUCCCAACAGCCACUGCUCUAGGCCAGGUGUCCACAUGGGGAAUAGGUCCAGGCCCUCUAUGGCUCUCGCAGGAGUCAGGGAGGCAGAUAAAUAACAUAUCACAAAGACAGAAUAUAAGAAAUGCCUGGGAGGAGGCAUACUGAUGCGUGGAAAGUACUCAGCCAGAAGCCUGGCACUAGAAGGGCCCAGGGAUUGUUGGCAUGUAUGAGUCACAGUUCCAUUUCAGUGGAGUGAGCAGGGAGAGAAUCUCCUGGAAGUAGGUGAAUAGAGAAAAUACAGCCUCUUCCUUACCUUUGAAUUUUUUUAGGCUCCCUGUGAUGGAGUCAUGUCUUGAUUUUGCUUCACUGAGUUUUUUCUCCAGUUCCAGAGGAACAGGGGUUGGGUUGAGAAACUGAAACUCUUCACUUCUAGGAAGAUGUGGUUGAGCUGGUUGGUGAGAUCAGGGGAUGAGGUGUGGGAGAAGGAGGAUCUGAGAUACGCGGUUGAGAAAUGAGGGGAUGAAGACCUGGGGGUAGAACUGAGAGCAGUGGCUCACACCUGUAAUCCCAGCACUUUGGGAGGCUGAGGCGGGUGGAUCACCUGAGGUCAGGAGUUCAAGACUAGCCUGGCCAACAUGGUAAAACCUGGUCUCUACUAAAAAUAUGAAAAUUAGCCAGGCUUGGUGGCAAGCGCCUGUAGUCUCAGCUACUUGGGAGGCUGAGGCAGGAGAAUCACUUGAACCUGGGAGACAAAGGUUGCAGUGAGCUGAGAUUGCACCACUGCACUCCAGCCUGAGCAACAAGAGCAAAGCUCCAUCUCAAAAAAAAAAAAAAAAAAAAAAAAAGAAGACCUGGCGGUUAAGGGAUAGUGAGCUGGGAGUCAGAAAGUCAGGGCUAGGGAUAUGGGGCGGGAGUGAGGUAGGGCAUAGGGAGAUAUGGAAAUGAAGAUGGGAGAUGGAGACAGAGAGGAGGGAAAAAAACAGGGUCAGGGAGACAGAGUAGGGGACCCAGGAGCUAUUCAGUUGAGCAAGGGGGCAUUCAGGAAAUAGUAGAAUCUGUGCUGAAGAAGGAGGAAGGCUG
rnacentral:lncRNA from 10 species